UACGUAGGGGGCGAGCGUUAUCCGGAUUCAUUGGGCGUAAAGCGCGCGUAGGCGGCCCGGCAGGCCGGGGGUCGAAGCGGGGGGCUCAACCCCCCGAAGCCCCCGGAACCUCCGCGGCUUGGGUCCGGUAGGGGAGGGUGGAACACCCGGUGUAGCGGUGGAAUGCGCAGAUAUCGGGUGGAACACCGGCGGCGAAGGCGGCCCUCUGGGCCGAGACCGACGCUGAGGCGCGAAAGCUGGGGGAGCGAACAGG
rnacentral:rRNA from 1 species